GCCCUCAUAGUUUAAUGGAUAGAAUGCGAGCUUGCGGAGUUUGCGAUCCAGGUUCGAUUCCUGGUGGGGGCACCA
rnacentral:tRNA from 8 species